CCUACGGGAGGCAGCAGUGAGGAAUAUUGGUCAAUGGACGAGAGUCUGAACCAGCCAAGUAGCGUGAAGGAUGACUGCCCUAUGGGUUGUAAACUUCUUUUAUAUGGGAAUAAAACGUUCCACGUGUGGGAUUUUGUAUGUACCAUAUGAAUAAGGAUCGGCUAACUCCGUGCCAGCAGCCGCGGUAAUACGGAGGAUCCGAGCGUUAUCCGGAUUUAUUGGGUUUAAAGGGAGCGUAGGUUGAUUGUUAAGUCAGUUGUGAAAGUUUGCGGCUCAACCGUAAAAUUGCAGUUGAAACUGGCAGUCUUGAGUACAGUAGAGGUGGGCGGAAUUCGUGGUGUAGCGGUGAAAUGCUUAGAUAUCACGAAGAACUCCGAUUGCGAAGGCAGUUCACUGGACUGCAACUGACACUGAGGCUCGAAAGUGUGGGUAUCAAACAGGAUUAGAUAUCCCAGUAGUC
rnacentral:rRNA from 1 species